UACGGAGGUCCCCAAGGGUUGCCCGGAGUGACUGGGCGUAAAGGGUCCGUAGGCGGUCUGGUAAGUCUCCUGUGAAAGCUGCCCGCUCAACGGGCAGAGGUCAGGAGAUACUGCUGGACUAGGGACCGGCAGGGGGGACCGGAAUUCCCGGUGUAGCGGUGAAAUGCGUAGAUAUCGGGAGGAACGCCGAUGCCGAAGGGGGGUCCCUAGGCCGGCUCCGACGCUGAGGGACGAAAGCUGGGGGAGCGAACCGGAUUAGAUA
rnacentral:rRNA from 1 species